GACGAACGCUGGCGGCGCGCUUAACACAUGCAAGUCGAACGGAAAGGCCUGCUUUCCCUUGUGGAUUGCGGGUACUCGAGUGGCGAACGGGUGAGUAACACGUGAGUGAUCUGCCCCCAACUUGGGUAUAAGCCUGGGAAACUGGGUCUAAUUCCCGAUAGGACUGCAGGGUGGUGCCUGCGGUGGAAAACGAUUUUCUAGUGGUUGGGGAUGAGCUCGCGGCCUAUCGGCUUGUUGGUGGGGUAAUGGCCUACCAAGGCGGCGACGGGUAGCCGGCCUGGGAGGGUGGACGGACACAGUGGGACUGAGCAACGGCCCAGACUCAUACGGGAGGCAGCAGUGGGGAAUAGUAGACGAUGGGAGGAAGCCUGAUGCAGCGACGCGGCGUGGGGGAUGACGGCCUUCGGGGUGUAAACUCCUUUCGACCGCGAGGAAGCCACGUGGUUGGAAGGGUGGUGACGGUAGUGGUAGAAGAAGCACCGGCUAACUACGUG
rnacentral:rRNA from 1 species